UAGGGAAUAUUAGAAAUGGACGAAAGUCUGAUCUAGCAACACCGCGUGUGCGAAGAAGGCCUUCGGGUUGUAAAGCACUUUUUGGAAGGAUUAGGAAGGAAUAUACUUCCAGAAUAAAUCUCGGCUAACUACGUGCCAGCAGCCGCGGUAACACGUAGGAGGCAAACGUUAUCCGGAUUUACUGGGCGUAAAGCGCGUGUAGGUGGUUCUGUAAGUAGGGCGUGAAAGCUCCUGGCUCAACUGGGAGAGGCCGUUCUAAACUACAGAACUAGAGGAUGGUAGAGGGAGGUGGAAUUCCAGGUGUAGCGGUGGAAUGCGCAGAUAUCUGGAGGGACACCAGUGGCGAAGGCGGCCUCCUGGACCAUUCCUGACACUCAGACGCGGAAGCUAGGGUAGCAAACG
rnacentral:rRNA from 1 species